AAAAAAAUCUAUGUUGGAAAUUUAACGAAUAGAUAAAUUUUUUAUGGUUUAAAAAAUUUAUUUUAAAUUUAUUUUACAUAUAAAUUUUAGUGUUAAUUAUUAAUUAUUUAAAUAAUAUUUAAUUUUUUUUGUAGUAAUUAAUUUUAAAAAUUUAAGAAAUUAAGAUUUAGUAAUAUUAAAAUUUAAUAACUAAUUUUGUGCCAGCAGUUGCGGUUAUACAAAAGUUAAUAUAAAUUUUUUUUUAGUUAUUAAUAAAUAAAUUAUAAUAAUAAUUUAAAUUUUAAGUUUUAAGGUGAAAUUUUAAUUUAAUAAAAAAUUAUUUGAUAUUUGUGAUUUAAUAAAUUUUAUAAAAAACUAGGAUUAGAUACCCUAUUAUUAAAAUUUAAAUUAAUAAUACUUAAAUAGUAUAUAAUUAUUUAUUGAAACUUAAAUAAUUUGGCGGUAUUUUAGUUCAUUUAGAGGAAUCUGUUUAAUAAUUGAUAAUCCACGAAUAAAUUUACUUAAUUUAUUAUUUUGUAUAUCGUUGUUAAAAAAAUAUUUUUUAAUAAUAUUAAUAUUUAAAAAUUUUUAAUAUAAAUUAAAUCAGAUCAAGAUGCAGAUUAUAAUUAAGAAUAUAAUGGAUUACAAUAAAUUUAUUUAGUUGAAUUUUAAUGUGAAAAAAUUAAAUGAAAUUGGAUUUAAAUGUAAUUUUAUUUAAAUUUUUAAAAUGAUUAAAUAUUAAAAUAUGUACAUAUUGCCCGUCGCUUUCAUUUAUAAGUUGAAAUAAGUCGUAACAAAGUAGAGGUACUGGAAAGUGUUUCUAGAAAGAU
rnacentral:ncRNA from 1 species